AAAAAAAAAGAAGGCAAAAGAUAUGAUUAUUCACUCUGUAAUCUGUAUAUCGUCUUUAUAGAGAACACAAAGGGCCAAGGAUGCCCGUAUAUGGUCUCUGAAGUUUAUAUUUACUGAAACUUGUACUUAAGUUCUGUGACACUGAAUUGAAGUAAUCAAAGUUCGACUUAUGACUUGAACGGCUCUUUUCUCUUCAACUAUGCAGCGCCAUCUAGUGUUUCAGUUGCUUCAGAUUUCAUAUAAUAGGAAUCAAUAAAGCAUUAGAGAUGGGCUUCAAUCAAAUUCUCCAAACAGGUUCUUGCUUGUAUUGGUCGUCGAGGGAUGUCAAGUGGAUGGAAUGACAGAUGACACACCUCCAAUUUCCUAAAAGAUGUUGAGCCGAAGGAAACCGGAAGUUAAAAGUGGACAACAUCAUAAAUUCUCCAGGUAAAAGUUUUGACUCUACAUAAUAUACAAAGAGCACGCUGAACAAAUUGAUUUGGCCCAGUCCUCUUGUGAGAUGCUGCAAAAUCAAGAGCAAGAUAUUAGACUUCAUUUAUAAAGAUAGCCACUUUGUAGCUUGUGUCUUCCUUGGACUCUGCAUCUUUUUAAGUAGGCUUGGAAGUGUCUCAUUUGUCUUUCAAUCCACUUGAUAUCCUUCAACAACUAAUAUCAACAAGAGCCUGUUUAGACAAUUUGAUUGGAACCACUCUCUAGUGCUUUGUUGAUGACUUUUGUAGCUCCUACUAUGCUCGCAUGUUUAAGGGUGUUGUAUUUAACUUUCUCGUUAUGAUGUUCAAUAUUUUACUGUAACACCUUGAAACUUUUGGACAAUAUUCUCUCGUUCUUGGAGUUAAAUUUGUACUAUCUGGAAGUUCAGUAGAUGGAACAAUGUUGGUUUGAUUUUCAAUUUUUAGGAAAGUUCCAUUUAUGUUGAUUAA